AGAGUUUGAUCCUGGCUCAGAUUGAACGCUGGCGGUAUGCUUAACACAUGCAAGUCGAACGGUAGCAGGCCUUCGGGCGCUGACGAGUGGCGGACGGGUGAGUAACGCGUAGGAAUCUGCCUCAUAGUGGGGGACAACGUGGGGAAACCCACGCUAAUACCGCAUACGCCCUACGGGGGAAAGCGGGGGCUCGAAAGACCUCGCGCUAUGAGAUGAGCCUGCGUUAGAUUAGCUAGUUGGUAGGGUAAAGGCCUACCAAGGCGACGAUCUAUAGCUGGUCUGAGAGGACGAUCAGCCACACUGGGACUGAGACACGGCCCAGACUCCUACGGGAGGCAGCAGUGGGGAAUAUUGGACAAUGGGCGCAAGCCUGAUCCAGCAAUACCGCGUGUGUGAAGAAGGCCCUAGGGUUGUAAAGCACUUUCAAUGGGGAGGAAAACCUGCCGGUCAAUACCCGGUAGCUUGACAUUACCUAUAGAAGAAGCACCGGCUAACUCCGUGCCAGCAGCCGCGGUAAUACGGAGGGUGCGAGCGUUAAUCGGAAUUACUGGGCGUAAAGCGUGCGUAGGCAGCUCGUUAAGUCAGAUGUGAAAGCCCUGGGCUCAACCUGGGAACUGCAUUUGAAACUGGCGAGCUAGAGUUGAGUAGAGGGGAGUGGAAUUUCAGGUGUAGCGGUGAAAUGCGUAGAUAUCUGAAGGAACACCAGUGGCGAAGGCGACUCCCUGGACUCAAACUGACGCUGAGGUACGAAAGCGUGGGUAGCAAACAGGAUUAGAUACCCUGGUAGUCCACGCUGUAAACGAUGUCAACUAGCCGUUGGUCCUAUAUACAGGAUUAGUGGCGCAGCUAACGCAUUAAGUUGACCGCCUGGGGAGUACGGCCGCAAGGUUAAAACUCAAAUGAAUUGACGG
rnacentral:rRNA from 1 species